rnacentral:rRNA from 1 species
CCUGGUCUUGACAUAGUAAGAACUUUCCAGAGAUGGAUUGGUGCCUUCGGGAACUUACAUACAGGUGCUGCAUGGCUGUCGUCAGCUCGUGUCGUGAGAUUGUUGGGUUAAGUCCCGCAACGAGCGCAACCCUUUUCCUUAUUUGCCAGCGGGUUAAGCCGGGAACUUUAAGGAUACUGCCAGUGACAAACUGGAGGAAGGCGGGGACGACGUCAAGUCAUCAUGGCCCUUACGACCAGGGCUACACACGUGCUACAAUGGUCGGUACAAAGGGUUGCUACCUCGCGAGAGGAUGCUAAUCUCAAAAAGCCGAUCGUAGUCCGGAUUGGAGUCUGCAACUCGACUCCAUGAAGUCGGAAUCGCUAGUAAUCGCGGAUCAGAAUGCCGCGGUGAAUACGUUCCCGGGCCCUGUACACACCGCCCGUCACACCAUGGGAGUUUGUUGCACCAGAAGUAGGUAGUCUAACCGCAAGGAGGACGCUUACCACGGUGUGGCAGAUGACUGGGGUGAAGUCGUAACAAGGUAAGCGUAGAUGA